rnacentral:rRNA from 1 species
CCUACGGGCGGCAGCAGUGAGGAAUAUUGGUCAAUGGGCGAGAGCCUGAACCAGCCAAGUCGCGUGAAGGAUGACGGCCCUACGGGUUGUAAACUUCUUUUGUCAGGGAGUAAUUGGGUCCACGCGUGGGCUUAGCGAGAGUACCUGAAGAAAAAGCAUCGGCUAACUACGGGCCAGCAGCCGCGGUAAGACGGAGGAUGCGGGCGUUAUCCGGUUUUAUUGGGUUUAAAGGGUGCGAAGUCGGAAUAUCAAGUCAGUGGUAAAAAUUGGGGGCUCAACCCCGUCGUGCCGUUGAGACUGAUAUUCUUGAGUGGGCGAGAAGUAGGCGGAAUGCGUGGUGUAGCGGUGAAAUGCAUAGAUAUCACACAGAACUCCGAUUGCGAAGGCAGCAUACCGACGCCCAACUGACGCUGAAGCACGAAAGCGUGGGUAUCGAACAGGAUUAGAUACCCCUGUAGUC